rnacentral:rRNA from 1 species
UAGGGAAUCUUCCACAAUGGACGCAAGUCUGAUGGAGCAACGCCGCGUGAGUGAAGAAGGUUUUCGGACCGUAAGGCUCUGUUGUUGGUGAAGAAGGAUAGAGGUAGUAACUGGCCUUUAUUUGACGGUAAUCAACCAGAAAGUCACGGCUAACUACGUGUCAGCAGCCGCGGUAAUACGUAGGUGGCAAGCGUUGUCCGGAUUUAUUGGGCGUAAAGCGAGCGCAGGCGGAAGAAUAAGUCUGAUGUGAAAGCCCUCGGCUUAACCGAGGAAUU